rnacentral:rRNA from 1 species
UGGUGGAGCGAUUUGUCUGGUUAAUUCCGAUAACGAACGAGACUCUGGCCUAUUAAAUAGUUCGCCGAUUCCGAUCUGUCGGCGUUAACUUCUUAGAGGGACAAGUGGCUUUUAGCCACGCGAGGUUGAGCAAUAACA